rnacentral:lncRNA from 1 species
AAUCAUCGGGUGAAUAGACUGAUUUUGCACUUGAGGAACCAAAUCCAACUGAGAUACAUCCACAGUAUCAAUAUUAUCAGAUAUUAAACCAGCAGAAAGAACCAUACCCAUAUCCGUUCCUGAUCUGGAUUCCGAUGUGGCUCCCGGAUUUGGCGUUGGUUGCAACUGAACUGGAGAAGGGGAAGCCAUAGCAGCCACCGUCGAUUCUGGCUCCUUGAGAUUGUCAAGUCCUGCAAUUGGUAAAACAAAAUGGAUGGGAGACCAAGUAUCUGUGGUAGAAGAAUUUGGGCAUUCUAGGUUUUGAGCAAGAGUAGAAAAGGG